rnacentral:lncRNA from 1 species
CUGUCCUAGGAACCAGGUUCCACUUCAGGGUGCAGCACAGCCUUUCCUGUGACAUCAAUAAAGCAAGAAAAAUGAACAGAUUCCUGGGAAUAUCUUUGGUGACUCUAUGGUUUCAAGUGGCCUGGGCAAAGAGCCAAUGGGGAGAAGAGAAUCUUCAGGCUCUGAGCAUCCAGGAGGGUGAAGAUGUCACCAUGAACUGCAGCUCUGAGCAUCCAGGAGGGUGAAGAUGUCACCAUGAACUGCAGUUACAAGACUUACACAACUGUUGUUCAGUGGUACAGACAGAAGUCAGGCGAAGGCCCUACCCUGGUAAUCUUAAUACGUUCAAAUGAGCGAGAGAAGCGCAGUGGAAGACUAAGAGCCACCCUUGACACCUCCAGCCAGAGCAGCUCCCUGUCCAUCACUGCUGCUCAGUGUGAAGACACUGCUGUGUACUUCUGUGCUACUGAUGCACAGUGUGUGGCGGGCACCUGCAGCCCUGACACAAACCUCAGAGCUGCUUCCUAGACCCCACCAGGAGGUGAAAUGUCUUUAGACUAAGAAGCCCUCCAAUCACUUUACCUAAGCCUCUCCUUUUACGGCUGGGGCUUGGAGCCACUGCAUAGUAGGGAGGCAAAGAUUUGAGUCUCAAAGGCAAAGAAACAAACAUCUAAGUCUGGUUCUGCCUUUAAGACUUCUGUGGUUUUUCAAGCCCUGGUUUACACACUAGGAAAAGGAAAACUUGUACAAAGUCAGUUCCUCAUCCAAGCGGGGAAGCAUGGUCCCUGAUGCCACAUUCUGAUGUGCUCUAUAGAAGGAAGUAUCCUGAAGUUGCUAUGGCGGGAGGGGACAUGUAAGAAGACCAAGUGCCUUUAAUGAACUCUUCCAAGAGGUGGCACCGCAAACAGAGCUCGGCCUUCCCACAUCAAUCAAUAUUCAAGAAGAUGUACCGCACACUUGGUUACAGGCCAAUAUGAUGGGAGUAAGUUUUCAGUUGAGGAUACCUCUUUCUAGGUGAUGCUGGUUUGUGUCAAGUUGAAAAAAAAAGUCUAACGCAUAUUUUCCUACAACAUUUACUUCACUGGUAUAUUAAUUUAGGUGUCAUUAAGGUUCAGAGAGAUGUCGCAUACCUGCACACAGUAUCCACUGAUCAAACCUCCUCUCCCUUUGUUUUUGUGCACACCUCCCAAGCCCUCUAGGCUUUCAGAAGACUACAGGACACUUGUGUGGGCAUUAUUUAUUUAUUUAUUUAUUUAUUUAUUUAUUUAUUUAUUAGUUUAGUUUAGUUAUUUGCAGGGUAGCAUGGGGGUAGGAGUGUGUGUCUGGCUUUUUUCAUUUAAUGUCCUCCAGUUCCAUCAGUUCUCCUGAAAAUGACAGUUCUAUUCUGCCUUUUCCUGAGUAGUAUUCUUUGUGAUACUACACUCCUGCCCGCCCAUUUGCUGAUGAUAAUCUAAGCUGACUUCUAAUCUAAACUGCUAUGACUAGAGAUACACAAGCAUGUGUGUAUGACUAUGGCAGGCCAAAUUCAUCUUCUCUGAGUUUGUUUCCAGAAGGAGAAUGAACGGGAGCUUUGCCUUUGAUUUCCUGAAUCUUUUCACAAGGCUCCUGCAGUGGCUCAUUGACCAACACCCGCCUCCCAUCAGCAUUCCUGCAUCCCAUUACCAUACAUCCUCAUCAGCACCAUGGCUUUGGCACAGUGAGUGAGCUGGUGUCUAAGUGUGGCCCUGGUUCGCAUUUCACCAAUGGCCAAUGACACUGAGCACUCCACAUCUGCUUCUUGGCUGUUUGUGUUUCAUUGCUGUUCUGUUCUGAUCAUUUGUCCAAUAUUAAAUUAACUUCUUUUGUUGUUGUUUUCAGCUCAAUCCUGUGACAGAUAAAUAGUUGGAAAAUAUUCUCCUAUUCUGUAGGUUGUCUCUUCACUCUACAGAUUCUUUGAUUUCUAUAUAAAAACUUGCUAAUUUGAUAUAAUCCAUUCCCUCUUUUUUAUAUAAAAUCAUAUUUCUAAUUACUUGGAUGGCUAACUUAUAACAGAACAUCCUCUUUGAUUUGGGACUUCUAUUUUAUAAUUUCGGCAAACUAAGGACAAGUGGGAUGAUAACAUUCCCCAAAUCCAUGCAUUAUGGAUGUUUCUGUUGGUAAAGGUCAUAGCAGCAUGAGUAUGACUUGGGUUCUGACCUACAAAGGGCAAACUCUAAGGAAUUUGCAUUAACAGUGUCAUUAUUGUCUUCCCAUUGAAAGAGGAUUUUCAUCAUUUAUAUGUAUAGACUUGAAAUUCAAUAGACACACAAUGAUAUUACAGUCACAAUAUAUACUUUCUUGAGAUGAGCUUUUCUGGCUCUCCUAAGUAGUAAUAUUGUGGCUGAAGGUUUACUAAAGAACUCCGGGGUUAAUUUAAAAAUUGCAAACAACAACAAAAAACCA